UCAAACUUGGUCAUUUAGAGGAAGUAAAAGUCGUAACAAGGUCUCCGUAGGUGAACCUGCGGAGGGAUCAUUACCGAGUCCUGCCCCCGGGCAGAUCUCCUACCCAAUGUGAUUUCUACCCUCGUUGCCUUGGCGGGCUGCCAACCGGCGCCUGCCAGAGGGCCCCUAGACCCUGAACGUCGGUGCCGUCUGGGUACAACAUAUAGCGAUUAAAACUUUCAACAACGGAUCUCUUGGUUCUGGCAUCGAUGAAGAACGCAGC
rnacentral:misc_RNA from 1 species